rnacentral:rRNA from 1 species
UUUGAUCAUGGCUCAGNACGAACGCUGGNGNCGUGCUNACACAUGCAAGUNGAACGAGAAAGUUUUCUUNGGAAAACGAGUAGAGUGGCGCACGGGUGAGUAACGCGUAGGUAAUCUACCCUAAUAUUUGGGAUAACAUUGGGAAACUGGUGCUAAUACCGAAUACCCUUCUUUUCUGCCGGGUUAAGGAGGAAAGGUGGCCUCUUCAUGAAAGCUACCGUAUAAGGAUGAGCCUGCGUACCAUUAGCUAGUAGGUGGGGUAAAGGCCCACCUAGGCUACGAUGGUUAGCGGGUCUGAGAGGAUGAUCCGCCACACUGGAACUGGAACACGGACCAGACUCCUACGGGAGGCAGCAGUGAGGAAUAUUGCGCAAUGGGGGAAACCCUGACGCAGCGACGCCGCGUGAGUGAGGAAGGUCUUCGGAUCGUAAAGCUCUGUCAGGAGGGAAGAAGUGUUAUACAGUUAAUACCUGUAUAAUUUGACGGUACCUUCAGAGGAAGCACCGGCUAACUCCGUGCCAGCAGCCGCGGUAAUACGGAGGGUGCAAGCGUUGUUCGGAAUUACUGGGCGUAAAGGGCGCGUAGGCGGCCUGAUAAGUCAGAUGUGAAAGUCCACGGCUCAACCGUGGAAGUGCAUUUGAAACUGUCAGGCUUGAGUAUCGGAGGGGAGUGUGGAAUUCCCGGUGUAGAGGUGAAAUUCGUAGAGAUCGGGAGGAACACCGGUGGCGAAGGCGACACUCUGGACGAAUACUGACGCUGAGGCGCGAAAGCGUGGGGAGCAAACAGGAUUAGAUACCCUGGUAGUCCACGCCGUAAACGAUGUGAACUAGGGAUAGGGGGUGUUGAUCCCUCCUGUCCCGCAGCUAACGCAUUAAGUUCACCGCCUGGGGAGUACGGUCGCAAGAUUAAAACUCAAAUGAAUUGACGG